UUAGAUACCCCCCUAUGCCUAACCAUAACACAACAAUAAAAUUACCAAUUGUUCGCCAAAUAACUACGAGUAAAAACUUAAAAUUUAAAAGACUUGACGGUACUUCACACCGACCUAGAGGAGCCUGUUUAAUAACCGAUACCCCACGAUUAACCCAACCCCCCCUGGCCCACAGUCUAUAUACCGCCGUCGCCAGCCUACCUUAUGAAAGAAAAAAAGUAAGCCAAAUAGUCACAUACUAGCACGACAGGUCGAGGUGUAACUAAUGGGGGGGACUGAAUGGGCUACAUUUUCUAAUACAAAAAACACGGACAAACCAUGAAACAAGAAACUGAAGGAGGAUUUAGCAGUACAUUAAGAACAACAUACUUAAUAGAAGCCCGCAAUGAAGUGCGUACACACCGCCCGUCAUCCCUGUCAACCCAACCACCCCAUAAAUAAUAAAACCCAUAAAACCCUAAGCAGGGCAAGUCGUAAC
rnacentral:rRNA from 1 species